CGAUUGAGUGAUCCGGUGAAUAAUUCGGACCGCACCAGUGUCCAGCUUCUGGACGUUGGAGUGGAAAGUUUGGUGAACCUUAACACUUAGAGGAAGGAGAAGUCGUAACAAGGUUUCCGUAGGUGMACCUGCGGAAGGAUCAUUC
rnacentral:rRNA from 1 species